UACAGAGGGUGCGAGCGUUGUCCGGAAUCACUGGGCGUAAAGGGCGCGUAGGUGGCGCAACAAGUCAGUGGUGAAAGCUCGACGCUCAACGUCGAGUCGGCCACUGAGACUGUUGGGCUUGAGCACUGUAGAGGCAGAGUGAAUUCCGGGUGUAGCGGUGGAAUGCGUAGAGAUCCGGAAGAACACCGGUGGCGAAGGCGGUCUGCUGGGCAGUAGCUGACACUGAGGCGCGACAGCGUGGGGAGCAAACAGG
rnacentral:rRNA from 1 species